rnacentral:lncRNA from 1 species
CCUAGUUCUGCUGGAGUGGAGCUGAGAGAGGCUCUUGGGAGCUGCCUGCGUGGGCAGAGUUUGAAGGCUUAGGAUAUCUCCUGAAGGCCGGAUGGGCCAGUAGAGAUUAACGAGGCUUGAGCUGUCUUGAAAGAUGGCUGCCCUGAGAACUGGCUAGAAGAGGAGACCAAGGAGGCUGUGUGGGUCACCCUUGCAUUGGAGAUGAGGGGAGUCGUGAGAGAUCAGUGGGGAGCCCAUUGCCCUGUUGGGGAACUGCCUGGUGGAGCUUUCCCAGGGAUAUUUUAAAGAACCUACAUGGGAGAAAGCCUGCAUUUGGACAUCUUCCAGGCCAUUCAAUAGCCAAAGAGAACCACCAACAGCUUGAAUCAAAAAAAAGGUACAAUUUGCUUGAUGUCAUCAAUACAGUGAGCCAGUGUGAUAUUCUGCGGAAUUGAAGAUGACUACAGUCCCUUUGGACUACACUAUGACAAAGAACAAGAGUGUUAGCACAGCCCUGGGUGGGUCACUGACAAGAAAAUUCACCUGGAGGCCAAAUUGUCUCUAAUAACAAGUCCAAGACAUGCAUUCCAGCUGGAAUCCUCUUCCCGGAUGAUCCGUGUCCCUGUCUGUAACACAGGGCUAAGCAAGUUCUUCAGCUAUUGGGCUUCAUCCACUCAACAUUCCACUGGCACUUCCAGAGCUGCCACCACACUUCAGACUCCCAAGGCUAACAAUGACCAAGAAAGACAGAUUCUCUGACGUCAUGGAACUUACUGUCUUUAUGAAUUUCCAGGGAGAAGGGUGCUAAGAUGCUAACAUGGAUACUAACCAUCUGAUGCAAUAUUCUGCUGCACAGAUUGUGACCUAUGACUCACUGGGACAUGAUAGAGGUCACAGAAAUGCCAAUGACAUCCCAAAGACAGUGUGGGAGUGUGUUGUCUAGCUUCUUAGCAAACCCCACCCCCACGGUGGCAUGACCCCUGCACCAUCUUCUCCCACCCUGGGAUCUCCUUCCUACCCCUCUGCCCAUGUCAAUCUGGAAGGUACUUUUAUACACACACACACACACUCCUAAUAGCAUCUAAAUCAGUCACUCUCAACCUUGGCUGUGCAUUAGUGGUGCUUACCUAUGACAGGGCUAGGCCCAGGCCACACCCAAAUCCAUUAAAGCAGAGCGUCUGGGGUGGGACCCAAGCAUCAGAGUUAUUGGCAUCUUCCCAGCUCGAGAACCAGUGCUCUAAGCGGAUGUGGUCGUCGGGGGAAAGGCAAGGACCUCUGGUCUUUACAAUCUUCUUGAUAUCACUGAAUAACCUCAGUUUCUCUGUCUGGGCAAGGAGGGUACUAAUACCUCCCUCUCCAGGCCAUGAUGAAGGUAAAACAAUAUUCUGAAAGAACCUCAGGAAUCCUGCCCAGAUGAGAGGCACUGGCCCUGUGGCCUCUGGGCAGAUUCACUGGAGAAAGUGGUGGGUGUGAUGGUUUCCCUGGGGGCCAACACUGAGACUUCCCAGUGUUUGCUCUACCAGGGUGAGCAUCACUGUGGUGAAUGUCCCUUGCAGAGCUCACAUCUGUUGCACCAGGAUACUUCCCCUGAAGCUGAGCUGCCAGCCCCAGCCUCCCAUUCCCCCACCUCCUUACCAUGCCCUUCCUUUCCUUCUCUGGCCAGGCCCGAGUCCUGCCAUCUCUAGAUGCUGCAUUUCCAAUACUUUCGGCCCAAUAAACAGUUGGCAGGUGUCAGGUUCCCAGGUUUGAAAGGGGUCUAUAUUAAUCACAGAGAUACACACCUGUCAGGAGUCCAGCUAAUGUCCUUCAGAGAGCCCUGGAGGAGAGCGGGAGAGGCAGGGCUGAUCUGAGGGCGGAGCACACUGAGGAGUAAGGAGAGGCUGGGAUGUGCUAGGGCCACCAGACCAGGAUGUACUGGGGCCGCCAGACCUGUCCACGGAGUCCAGGCGGGGGACUCCCACAUGUCUCAGGCAUCAUGAGGGGCUACAGAAGCAGCAUGAAAACAGUCCCCACCCUCGCCCAGUUCAUGACCUAUAUUGGGAGUGACACACGCUGGGCUUUAAGAUGCUUGCCAAGCAACAUACAGGCAAGUGCAAAGUAGUGAAUCCAGGUUGAGGAAGUGGGUGAGGAGAAGAAAUAUCAGGUGAGAAGCAGACCUGGGGGUUGGGAGAAUGGGGUAGGAAGAGUCCCAGAUAUGCAGUGAAAAGUCAUGCCCUGUUAACGGGGAGAGAAUAGAAGGAGGGGAGGGGAGUGGAGGGAAGAGGAAGGGAGCAGAGGGGCUGAGAGGGGAGGGGAGGGGAGAGGAGGAGAGAGGAAGGGAGGGGAGGGGACAGGAGAGGAGUGGAGGAGAAGGGAGGGGAGUAGGAGGAAGGCAGUGCACAUUGCAUGCAGUAAGGAAAGUAUUAUGUUAUAAAACUUUGUUUCAGCUUUUUGUGGGGUGAGUGUGUGUACUGGGUCCUGAGAUAAAAUUUCUUUCUUGCAUGAUCUAAGAAGUAUGUGUGCAUCACAGGAGUCCAGGCUUUGAGCCUGGGAUCAGCACAGUUCCUGACUCUGACCCACACACCAUGAGCCAAAGCUCUAGACCUUUCAGAAAUUCUUCACCAUCAGAAAAAUGGAGGUGGCACGCCCUGCCGCAGCUGAUCAACUUCCCAGAUGUGCUGCGAGCCUGCAGAGAAAGAGAUAGAAGUGGCCUGGCUUUGAAACAUGGUGCUAUCCCCUAGCAAGCAGAGGAGGAGCUUCCAGACAGAAAAUGGUACCUUUCCCCAGAGUCUAUGUUGAGGUGCACCAGCCUUUCCAGUCCUGAGAAAAGACAGAGUCAUGGCUCCAGGGCAGGUGGGCAUGCCUGUGUCCCAGGAGGCACUGUUCUUCCUGGCCAGAGACCCAUGCCCACUUCAGAGGAGCCAUGAAGGAGAAACACCAGGCCACAGUGGAGGACUGUGAUCAAGGAAAAAUUGAAGAACUGCUGCAGGAAAUUGGAGCUGCCAAUCUCCUAACAAUUGGAAUUUUUUUAUACUGUGCAUUUCACAAAUGUAUGUCCUCAAGGACAGAGAAGAUCCUGCCCUAAGGAGCAAGUGUGCGGAGGCCACCUGGCCUUCACUGGUUCCUGCACUGAAUGUUUCCUUCUCACCUGCUGAGUACCAGGUGUUACCCCAGAGAUGGCAGAAGGACUGAGGACCUGGGGAGGAGAGAGGAGGAAACUGGAGGACUGUGAACGUGGCCACGUCUUUUCCAAUGGAGAGAAAACUCAAUCGGAUCUGGGCACUCCCUACAUUUCUCCACCUCCUGCCGCCCCCGUGAGCCACUGCAGGGAGAUUUUUCUGAAUAAUGGAACAUUUUCCUGUUUUAAUCAGAUGCAAUUUUGCAAGCAGUUUUUAUGAUUUAGCAAGUCCAUUAAAACUGGCAUUUGUUCUGCUCUGACACUCGAAAGGGGCUCCACAGAGCAUAAACAUUGGAAAUUACUUGUAGGGAGAGACAAUAUUAAAAUUCCCCAGCCUGGGCCUGUUGUUUGAGAAAUUCUGUUAUCAAGCAUCAUGCCAGCUACGAUCAGAGGUGCUUGAGAUAUAUGCUGCUUCCUCUUUACGCACUAACUGGGGGCCUGGGAACUCAGGCAGCAAUAAAGUCGCAAUGCUGUUAUCUCUCAGCACUUUUGGCAUCAGGAGGUGAAUGGGUCUUAAGGAGAACUCACUGGAAGAGCAGGUCACGAAGUGCAAAAUCUCAAGGAAGAGGGUGGGUGAACACAUCUUUAAGGACAAGCCUGGAAAUUGCUUUCCUGCCCACAGUGAAUGAUAGAGUUUAUUGGCACAUAAUUAAGAAGGUCUGUUUUGUCAGUUUCACUUGUAGUCAAUUCUCAAUUAUCCAUAUACUAACAGAUGACCAGGGUCAAGUGAAAAUUCUCCUUUUGCCCUCCUUCUGCUUCCCUGCAGGGAUUCCCUCUCCACAGAACCAAAGUAGAGUAUCAGCAAGAGAGGCUUUGGGGAGCAUCUCCUCUCCCAGUCAAUGCAGAAGCCAUAGAAGAAAUCACAAAAGAUAGAACCUGGCAGUUCAACUACAUAAAAUUAACAAUGCGUGG